AUGAUGCUAAACAUUCUUGCUGUUGGCAUGGCUCGACUUGAUGGGAUCAAUAACCCCAAUGGUGAGCUCUACCUAGUAGGUGUUGAAUAUGCAUGCCGUCCUGGUGUUCUAGCAUCCUUUAGGAAAACCAAGUAUCAUCUCAACGGGUUCUCUUCUGGAAACUAUCCCAAGACUGCACAAGAACUAUUCAAUCUCAAACACUCUAGCCUAAGAGUCACGGUUGAGAGGGCAUUUGGUGCUUUGAAGAAUAGAUUUAAGAUCCUGGAUCAGAAGGCAUUCCGCCCUUUCCCCACCCAAGUUAGGCUUGUUUGCAUAUUGCAUUCUCCAUAA
rnacentral:rRNA from 1 species